UACGUAGGGGGCAAGCGUUGUCCGAAUUUAUUGGGCGUAAAGCGCUCGCAGGUGGUCCGAUGCGUCGUGCGUGAAAGACCCCGGCUCAACUGGGGGGUGUCGUGCGAUACGGUCGGACUGGAGGCCAGUAGGGGGAUGCGGAAUUCCGGGUGUAGUGGUGGAAUGCGUAGAGAUCCGGAGGAACACCAGCGGCGAAGGCGGCAUCCUGGACCGAGAUUGACGCUGAGGCGCGAAAGCCAGGGGAGCAAACGGG
rnacentral:rRNA from 1 species